AUUGAACGCUGGCGGCAUGCUUUACACAUGCAAGUCGAACGGUAACAGGCCGCUAGGUGCUGACGAGUGGCGAACGGGCGAGUAAUGCAUCGGAACGUGCCCAGCCGUGGGGGAUAACUACUCGAAAGAGUAGCUAAUACCGCAUACGAUCUAUGGGUGAAAGCGGGGGACCGUAAGGCCUCGCGCGAUUGGAGCGGCCGAUGUCAGAUUAGGUAGUUGGUGGGGUAAAGGCUCACCAAGCCAACGAUCUGUACGUGGUCUGAGAGGACGACCAGCCACACUGGGACUGAGACACGGCCCAGACUCCUACGGGAGGCAGCAGUGGGGAAUUUUGGACAAUGGGCGCAAGCCUGAUCCAGCAAUGCCGCGUGCAGGAAGAAGGCCUUCGGGUUGUAAACUGCUUUUGUACGGAACGAAACGGCUCUGGUUAAUACCCGGGGCUAAUGACGGUACCGUAAGAAUAAGCACCGGCUAACUACGUG
rnacentral:rRNA from 1 species